ACAAGACCUUAUUUAAUUAUGCAUGUCAUCGUAAGUCGGUCUCUUAUGUUAUGUUCUUUAUUUAUUGUAGAUUAAAAGUGGCAUCUUCAUUAUCACUGAGAGGCAUCUUGGAUGCCAAUAAGUUAAUCAGUCUAAAUUAUGUUGACUGAUUGAGAAAUUUAAAAAUUAUACUCACACAAGAGAAGAUCUCCUACAUCCUUGACACCCC
rnacentral:lncRNA from 1 species